AAAAAAACUUUUCGCUUUAAGAUGUUCAAGAUAUUUCCGAGUAAGUAGUAGUUAAGGUAAUUACUUAACUAGCUUUAGCUCGUAGUCGAAACUGAGAGGUUGAUCGACCACAUUGGGUCUGAAAAAACCCCAAUACGUGUAGUACAGCAGUGAGGAAUAUUGGUCAAUGGCCUAACGGCCGAACCAGCAAU
rfam:Albugo candida, Ac Nc2, WGS project CAIX01000000 data, contig: AcNc2_CONTIG_3156_length_230